GGCCGCCUGGCGAAAUGGCAUCGCGUCUGACUACGAUCGUGCUUCCGUAAACCAACGAUCACGUGAUCAGGAGAUUGCAGGUUCGAGCCCUGCGGUGGUCA